rnacentral:rRNA from 1 species
CUUACCAGGUCUUGACAUCCUCUGAUAAUCCUAGAGAUAGGACGUACCCUUCGGGGGCAGAGUGACAGGUGGUGCAUGGUUGUCGUCAGCUCGUGUCGUGAGAUGUUGGGUUAAGUCCCGCAACGAGCGCAACCCUUGAUCUUAGUUGCCAGCAUUCAGUUGGGCACUCUAAGGUGACUGCCGGUGACAAACCGGAGGAAGGUGGGGAUGACGUCAAAUCAUCAUGCCCCUUAUGACCUGACAAUGGACAGAACAAAGGGCAGCGAAACCGCGAGGUUAAGCCAAUCCCACAAAUCUGUUCUCAGUUCGGAUCGCAGUCU